UGACUGCUAUCGGAUUGAUACUAAGCCAUGCGAGUCAUUGUAGUAAUACAAGGCAGACGGCUCAGUAACGCGUAGUCAACCUAACCUAUGGACGGGAAUAACCUCGGGAAACUGAGUAUAAUGCCCGAUAGAACAUUAUGCCUGGAAUGGUUUAUGUUCCAAAUGAUUUAUCGCCGUAGGAUGGGACUGCGGCCUAUCAGUUUGUUGGUGAGGUAAUGGCCCACCAAGGACUAUUACAGGUACGGGCUCUGAGAGGAGUAGCCCGGAGAUGGGUACUGAGACACGGACCCAGGCCCUAUGGGGCGCAGCAGGCGAGAAAACUUUGCAAUGUGCGAAAGCACGACAAGGUUAAUCCGAGUGGUUUCUGCUAAAGGAACCUUUUGUCGGUCCUAGAAACACCGAUAAAUAAGGGGUGGGCAAGUUCUGGUGUCAGCCCGCCGCGGUAAAAACCAGCACCUCAAGUGGUCAGGGAUGAUUAUUGGGCCCUAAGGCAUCCGUAGCCGGCUCUGGUUAGUUUUCGGGUUAAAUCUGUACGCCUCAACGGUACAGGCUGCCCAGGGAAUACUGCCAAAGCUGGGGGAGUGGGAAGAGGGUAGACGGUACCUCCGGU
rnacentral:rRNA from 1 species